UACGGGGGGAGCAAGCGUUGUUCGGAUUUACUGGGCGUAAAGGGCGCGUAGGCGGUCAGCACAAGUCAGUUGUGAAAUCUCCGGGCUUAACUCGGAAAGGUCAACUGAUACUGUGCGACUAGAGUGCGGAAGGGGCAACUGGAAUUCUCGGUGUAGCGGUGAAAUGCGUAGAUAUUGGAAAGACCACCAAUGGCGAAGGCACUCUACUGGGCCACAACUGACACUGAGAGACGAAAGCUAGGGGAGCAAAUGGG
rnacentral:rRNA from 1 species